GACGAACGCUGGCUGCGUGCUUAACACAUGCAAGUCGAACGCUGAAGCCCCAGCUUGCUGGGGUGGAUGAGUGGCGAACGGGUGAGUAACACGUGAGUAACCUGCCCCUGACUUCGGGAUAAGCCCGGGAAACUGGGUCUAAUACCGGAUACAACUAUCGGACGCAUGUCUGGUGGUGGAAAGUUUUUUCGGUUGGGGAUGGGCUCGCGGCCUAUCAGUUUGUUGGUGAGGUAAUGGCUCACCAAGACGACGACGGGUAGCCGGCCUGAGAGGGCGACCGGCCACACUGGGACUGAGACACGGCCCAGACUCCUACGGGAGGCAGCAGUGGGGAAUAUUGCACAAUGGGGGAAACCCUGAUGCAGCGACGCAGCGUGCGGGAUGACGGCCUUCGGGUUGUAAACCGCUUUCAGCAGGGAAGAAGCCUUCGGGUGACGGUACCUGCAGAAGAAGUACCGGCUAACUACGUG
rnacentral:rRNA from 1 species